rnacentral:miRNA from 1 species
CGCUGUCCAUCCUGAGUUUCA